rnacentral:misc_RNA from 1 species
GAAAUGCGAUAAGUAAUGUGAAUUGUAGAAUUCAGUGAAUCAUCGAAUCUUUGAACGCACCUUGCGCUCCUUGGUAUUCCUUGGAGCAUGCCUGUUUGAGUAUCAUGAAAUCUUCAAAGUAAAUCUUUUGUUAACUCAAUUGGUUUCUACUUUGGUAUUGGAGGUCUUUGCAGCUUCACACCUGCUCCUCUUUGUUCAUUAGCUGGAUCUCAGUGUUAUGCUUGGUUCCACUCGGCGUGAUAAGUUAUCUAUCGCUGAGGACACUGUAAAAGGUGGCCAAGGUAAAUGCAGAUGAACCGCUUCUAAUAGUCCAUUGACUUGGACAAUACUUUUAUGAUCUGAUCUCAAAUCAGGUAGGACUACCCGCUGAACUGAAG